rnacentral:rRNA from 1 species
GAUGAACGCUGGCGGCGUGCCUAAUACAUGCAAGUCGAGCGAACGGACGAGAAGCUUGCUUCUCUGAUGUUAGCGGCGGACGGGUGAGUAACACGUGGAUAACCUACCUAUAAGACUGGGAUAACUUCGGGAAACCGUAGCUAAUACCGGUUAAUAUUUUGAACCGCAUGGUUCAAAAGUGAAAGACGGUCUUGCUGUCACUUAUAGAUGAAUCCGCGCUGCAUUAGCUAGUUGGUAAGGUAACGGCUUACCAAGGCAACGAUGCAUAGCCGACCUGAGAGGGUGAUCGGCCACACUGGAACUGAGACACGGUCCAGACUCCUACGGGAGGCAGCAGUAGGGAAUCUUCCGCAAUGGGCGAAAGCCUGACGGAGCAACGCCGCGUGAGUGAUGAAGGUCUUCGGAUCGGAAAACUCUGUUAUUAGGGAAGAACAUAUGUGUAAGUAACUGUGCACAUCUUGACGGUACCUAAUCAGAAAGCCACGGCUAACUACGUG